GGUGAAACACCGGUUCUCGUUCAAUCACUGAGGUUAAGCAAAUUCAAACCUGGUCAGUACCUACAUGGGUAACCGCUUGGGAAUACCAGGUGCUGUAAG